rnacentral:rRNA from 1 species
CCUAACGGUCUGGAAUAACAUGAGGAAACUUGUGCUUAUACCGGAUAAGCCUUUACAGGGAAAGCUUUAUGCUCCGAUAGAUGAGCCCACACUUGAUCAGUUAGUUGGUGAGGUAAUAGCUCACCAAGACAAUGAUCAAUAGCUGAUUUGAGAGGAUGAUCAGCCACAUUGGGACUGAGACACGGCCCAAACUCCUACGGGAGGCAGCAGUGGGGAAUCUUGCACAAUGGGGGAAACCCUGAUGCAGCGAUGCCGCGUGAGUGAAGAAGGCCCUUGGGUUGUAAAGCUCUUUCGUCGGGGAAGAAAAUGACUGUACCCGAAUAAGAAGGUCCGGCUAACUUCGUGCCAGCAGCCGCGGUAAUACGAAGGGACCUAGCGUAGUUCGGAAUUACUGGGCUUAAAGAGCACGUAGGUGGUUAAAAAAGUUGGUGGUGAAAUCCCAGAGCUUAACUCUGGAACUGCCAUCAAAACUUUUUGGCUAGAGUGUGAUAGAGGAAAGUAGAAUUUCUAGUGUAGAGGUGAAAUUCGUAGAUAUUAGAAAGAAUACCAAUUGCGAAGGCAGCUUUCUGGAUCAUUACUGACACUGAGGUGCGAAAGCAUGGGUAGCGAAGAGGAUUAGAUACCCUCGUAGUCCAUGCCGUAAACGAUGUGUGCUAGACGUUGGAAAUUUAUUUUCAGUGUCGCAGCGAAAGCGUUAAGCACACCGCCUGGGGAGUACGACCGCAAGGUUAAAACUCAAAUGAAUUGACGGGG